rnacentral:rRNA from 1 species
CCAUGNGUAGCGGUGAAAUGCGUAGAUAUAUGGAGGAACACCAGUGGCGAAAGCGGCUCUCUGGUCUGUCACUGACGCUGAGGCUNGAAAGCGUGGGUAGCGAACAGGAUUAGAUACCCUGGUAGUNCACGCCGUAAACGAUGAGUGCUAGGUGUUAGGCCCUUUCCGGGGCUUAGUGCCGGAGCUAACGCAAUAAGCGCUCCGCCUGGGGAGUACGACCGCAAGGUUGAAACUCAAAGGAAUUGACGGGGGCCCGCACAAGCGGUGGAGCAUGUGGUUUAAUUCGAAGCAACGCGAAGAACCUUACCAGGUCUUGACAUCCCGAUGCUAUUCUUAGAGAUAGGAAGUUACUUCGGUACAUCGGAGACAGGUGGUGCAUGGUUGUCGUCAGCUCGUGUCGUGAGAUGUUGGGUUAANNNNNNNNNNGAGCGCAACCCUUAUUGUUAGUUGCCAUCAUUAAGUUGGGCACUCUAGCGAGACUGCCGGUAAUAAACCGGAGGAAGGUGGGGAUGACGUCAAAUCAUCAUGCCCCUUAUGACCUGGGCUACACACGUGCUACAAUGGUCGGUACAACGAGUUGCGAGCCGGUGACGGCAAGCUAAUCUCUGAAAGCCGAUCUCAGUUCGGAUUGGAGGCUGCAACUCGCCUCCAUGAAGUCGGAAUCGCUAGUAAUCGCGGAUCAGCACGCCGCGGUGAAUACGUUCCCGGGCCU